UACGUAGGGUGCAAGCGUUUAAUCGGAAUUACUGGGCGUAAAGCGUGCGCAGGCGGUUUUGUAAGUCUGUCGUGAAAUCCCCCGGGCUCAACCUGGGAAUUGCGAUGGAGACUGCAAGGCUAGAAUCUGGCAGAGGGGGGUAGAAUUCCACGUGUAGCAGUGAAAUGCGUAGAGAUGUGGAGGAACACCGAUGGCGAAGGCAGCCCCCUGGGUCAAGAUUGACGCUCAUGCACGAA
rnacentral:rRNA from 1 species